UUGAUUUUGAUCUAUUCCUCGUAAAUAAAUCCGCCGUUCUUUUAUCUUCCCUAUUAUCAUCAUGGUUACUAUCGUCGUCGGUAACGUCUUUACCUUCUUCUUUGUCUUCGUGAUAAACGUCUUUAUCACUAUUCACGUCGUUAUCCUCAUUAUCGCCAUCGUCGUAGGUAACGUUUUACCUUCUUCUUCGUAUUCGUGAUAAGCGUCUUUAUCACUAUUAACGUCGUUAGCGUCUUCGUCUUCAUCGUCAGUCUCGUCUUCAAGAUUGAAGUCGUUAAAAAAUGAACAAAUACGUUCAAUCACGUCGUUCUCUGAACCAGUGUAGUUCAGAACUAAAACAUGGCAAACUGCUACUAAGUCCGACUUAGUUUAUUUUUCACGUCUUCUAUUUUUGUGGAAUAUGCCUCGGAUUCUUUAUCCCUCGAAAAUUUUGUGAAGUUCCGCAAGUUCUUCCUAGUUUGUCGCGGCAACCCUUUAUCCCCGUAUGCGACAACAUGCAACGUCUUAACAGCACUUAAUGCCGAAUUUCUAAGGUUUUGAACUAAUUUUUGGAAAAUCGUUAAGAGUUUGUUUAGACUGCAUUUUAAAAAGGUAUAUAAUAAUAAUAAAUAAAAAAAA
rnacentral:lncRNA from 1 species